CUACAAUCAUUUUGAGGCAAAUAAUACAUUUGUAUGUACAAAUGUGAAACAAUCCCUUCUAUAUUGAAUUGCACAUCACCAAUGUAUGUAGUCUUAUACUCACAAUCAUGUAUCAUAUAUAAAAAAAAAUAACAUCCGUUUCUUCUUAUGCUUCAAAUCAUAAAGUUUCAUCUCCUUUUGUCUCUUAUCCGACCCUUGAAAUCAUCAGCUGAAUGAGGAAGUGCAAGAAUCUCAUCUAUUUGUCUCACAUGAGAGCUCAGCAUUUCACUGUAUCAGGAGCAACAUGUUACAAUGGCCAAAGAUUAUUCAUGGGUUCAACUCAAGGAAAAAGAAGAAGGAACUACCAACAACUAAGUGAAACGAGAAACAUCAAAGCUGUAUUGAGCAAUUCGACGUGAAAUUCUAAUUAAGAGAGCACCAGAUUCACACCUAAAACGUUGAGUCAAUUAGUGAUGAAGAUAACCAUGGAUCAGAAUUUUCAAACACAUGGAAAUUGCAGCAAAUUAUUCAAAGUUGAAUCUCUGAGAACAAAAAAACAGAUGCAGGGAUCAAGGGCCGCCCAAAAAAGUAAAGAUUGCAUUUUCAUAAUAGCAUCCAAUAAUUUCAUAUUCAAAGAAUAAUCGGAGAUCAAGUAAGUGAAGCCAAUCUUGCAUUUGGUCUCUCUUUCUCUUGGUUGUUUAUUCAAAUUUCCGCUUUGGGCUUUUCAUUCUUGGAUUAAAAUGGAUUAUACACUUACAUUGCACUAGGUUUUGGCAUUACACUCUUACAUUGCACUAGGUUUUGGCAUUACACUCUUGAAGAUAAAAUUUUUUACAAACAGUUGUUUAAAAUACUGUUAAGCAUCUCUUCUUCACAUUUCUGCUGUAGCUGAAUAAAUUCACAUUUUUUAUCUAUUAUCUGGCUUAAUAAAAAUUUCUAAAGCACUCUUGAUCGUAUCCCAGGCUCGUCCAUACUUUACCCAAGUGAGGGCUGCUGAAAAUAGUAGAAUGCGGACACAGUAAGCUUGUAUUCUUUUACAUGUCUAAGUAACAUAAUGAAGUUUGGAAUUUCCAUUUUCUGAAGAUGGUACUUACUAAACAGCUUUAUGGGGUUAAAGCUAGACACUGCCUUUGGUUUGAAAUAAUGUUCCCAAGUGUAUCUGAUAAGAGCUUUUAGCAACAAAUGAAUAAUUCAAAAAACUUCUCAAUCCUCAACAUCAAUACUAAAAUUAUUGUUAUAUCAAGACAGUUGAUAAUAGCAUCCAGUCUGAACACGACUAACUUGAUAUAAGAUGCUAAAAUCCAGGAAAAAGUGAAGGUCCACAACUACAAAUAGCAAGCUACAAUGAAAAAUAGAAUGAUAAACAAAGAGAAGAGCGAUAUGAUCAUACCCGUGCAAAAUCUCAGGAUUCUCGAGCUUCUCAUUAGCCAAUUCCUGCUUUAAACAACACUGCUAAUGGGACCAUCUGAUGGUCACCACUCUCAGACAACAUUGAUUCCUGACCCAACACCACAAAAACGAUAAUUUUCUCUCUCUUUGCACAAGAUUCAGAAAAUCCAGUCCAUUACACAUUCAAUCCACCAAUUUCUUGUUGUAGUUGCUGCUAAUCGAUUCAAUCAACACAAAUCCAAUAAAUCACAUACAUACAACCAUCAUUUUUUCUUCUUCUUAUAAUGAAUAACUUACAACAAUAAGCUACUUUUCAAAAUUUAAACAUGCAAAAGACCUAAAGCUCAAAAAUCAAAGUUCAAUUCAAUUUCCGUAUUUCCGAAUCAACUAAAUCCCAAAUUAUAAGUUCCAUUUAAUUUCCACAGCUACUGGUUUCCUGCAAUAACAUAAUAGGCAGAGAGUUAAAUCUCGAAAUAAAGAUAAGCCUAAUUUAUCAAAAACAAAAAAAAUAAAGAAAAAUCACAGAAAACCAUAACAAAAUCCAGGAAUUCACCAAAAAAAUAACGCCAUUCUUGGACCAAAUUGUUGUGAUAUUUAUUAAGGGUGCAACUCAUAAUCGCAAGAACAUGGCAAAAUCCUGUGCAGAAAGUUUAACCAUAUUAGCAAGCAUUAUUCCAACUCACCACCCUCAAAUUUUCCAGCUAUUGCAAGUUAAGAACAACUCAAGUUGAUGAAAAGAACUAAAUAAAUAAAUUGCUUAUUUAACAAAGUUGGUUCCCACUCCGACUGUAUCAAAUGCGGAACUAAAUAAAUAAAUUGCUUAAUUGACAAAUGUUGCUAAUUCAUCAAUGGAAUAUUCUUCAUCAAUGGAAUCAUCCAUGACAUUGGUUCCUUAUUCCUAACUCUGUGACCAUCCAUGUUGAAACUAUAUUCAUGUACAUCAAAUUACCAUUAAACAUAUAAG
rnacentral:lncRNA from 1 species